CGGCUUGUAGCGCAGAUGGUUAGCGCGAUGGAUGCGAGAGCAGCCCGUAGGUCGCCGGUUCGAGUCCGGCCAAGCCGC
rnacentral:tRNA from 1 species